GCGGUGAUAGCUCAGUGGGUAAAGCGCCAGGUGAGAAGAUGGCGAUUACUCCGAGAGCUAUUAUCUUGGUUCGGCUAUUAUCUUGGCGCGGGUUCGAAUCCCACCUGUGGCA